rnacentral:rRNA from 1 species
UACGUAGGGUGCGAGCGUUAAUCGGAAUUACUGGGCGUAAAGCGUGCGCAGGCGGUUUUGUAAGCCAGGGGUGAAAUCCCCGGGCUCAACCUGGGAAUGGCAUUUGGGACUGCAAGGCUGGAGUGCGGCAGAGGAGACUGGAAUUCCUGGUGUAGCGGUGAAAUGCGUAGAUAUCGGGAGGAACACCAGUGGCGAAGGCGAUCAUCUGGGGUUGUUCUGACACUGAGGAGCGAAAGCUAGGGGAGCAAACGGG